AUCCAACUCUAUCAACAUAUCAACCACUGCCAUGAUCAUCCUGCUCCCAAUAAAUUCCCUAAUUGCACCACUCUCCAAUCUCAACAUAUUCUCCACAAAGAUCUCAGUCUGUAAAAGCAAGCGAAUAAGUCUAUAAAUCAAUCAUCUAAAACAACUAUUAGACGCUUUGACAGAGAGAGGAAAUUGUGAUACAGCAUCACUAUAAAGUACAUGCAUCAUUAUAAAACCACUACUCUCAACAUAUUCUCCACAUAGAUCUCAGUCUGUAAAAAUCAAGGGAAUAAGUCUAUAAAUCAAUGAUCUAAAACAACUAUUAGAAACUUCGACAGAGAGAGAGAGGAUUGUGAGACAGCAUCACUAUAAAGUACAUGCAUCAUUAUAAAACCACCACUCAAUGAAAUAGUAUAGGAAAUUACAGCAGCAUCAGCACCAGUACACUGGAUAAUUUAAAAACGAGAUCUUACUUUGAUACACAGACAACAACAGAUAAGCAGUAAUACCUCCAAAUCAACAUCAAUAUAAUGUGGAACAGCUCUAGUAUUAGACCAAGUAUAAAUAAAAGAAUAAGUGCACAAUAUGCACUUUAACUAUGAUAAACACAGUUUUAUUGUAUGACCUGCAGGAAAAAUUAAUAAACCAUAUGUGAAUAGGUGUUGCCCAAAAGGAAGCAGGACUUCCAUUUUGAUUGAUGUCACACUAUAAAAGACCAAGUUUCAUCUAAAACAUGCUGCUGCAUCCAUUCAAGGAGAUGGAUGCACAUCAAUUAGGUUCAUGAUGAGACUAACUACAGUGUGAUUUGACAUUGCAAUUUGCAAGGGAAGGAGGAGGUAGAGGAUUUUAAAAUGAAGUUGAAUUAGAUACAAGAAUUUAAUUU
rnacentral:lncRNA from 1 species